rnacentral:lncRNA from 1 species
CUGCUCGAACCGAGCCUCCUGGCGCUACAUCGCGCCCAACAUUGCAGCGACCUGCUCCCGCAGCUCCUGCACUUCCUCCGAUCUUGGCUGCUUGGGCUCCGCAGUAGGCGGUACCGGAGCAGACCUACGCGCAUAACGCCUUGGGGACAUUUGCUCCUGAAAAGCAACAACUCAGUUAGUUAUCUCAAUCUGAUAACUUCGCAACGUUCGCGAAAUUAAGCGACUCGACAACGAAAUCGGGCGGAAGCUCACAAGUGCUCCAGUUCUGGACUCUUAGCGUCGCGUCGUCGGCCGCCGACGCAACCACUACGAGCCGAGAAACUAGUAUCACUUGGAUCCGUCUCUAUUCACGGCCAGAGACAUGACAUUAACUUCGACCCAAUCGAUCAACUUCCG